rnacentral:rRNA from 1 species
GAUGAACGCUGGCGGCGUGCUUAACACAUGCAAGUCGAACGGAAAGGCUCCUGCUUGCAGGGGUACUCGAGUGGCGAACGGGUGAGUAACACGUGGGUGAUCUGCCCUGCACUUCGGGAUAAGCCUGGGAAACUGGGUCUAAUACCGGAUAGGACCACAUUUUGGAUGGUGUGGUGGAAAGUUUUUCGGUGUGGGAUGAGCUCGCGGCCUAUCAGCUUGUUGGUGGGGUAAUGGCCUACCAAGGCGUCGACGGGUAGCCGGCCUGAGAGGGUGUACGGCCACAUUGGGACUGAGAUACGGCCCAGACUCCUACGGGAGGCAGCAGUGGGGAAUAUUGCACAAUGGGCGCAAGCCUGAUGCAGCGACGCCGCGUGGGGGAUGACGGCCUUCGGGUUGUAAACUCCUUUCGCUAGGGACGAAGCGCAAGUGACGGUACCUGGAAAAGAAGCACCGGCUAACUACGUG